rnacentral:rRNA from 1 species
UUUCGCAAUGCCCGAAAGGGUGACGAAGCGACGCCGCGUGGGUGAGGAAGGCCUUCGGGUUGUAAAGCCCUGUCAGGAGUUAAGAAAUGUAAGUGCGCUAAUACCGCAUUUAUUUGACGAAGGCUCCAAAGGAAGUCACGGCUAACUCUGUGCCAGCAGCCGCGGUAAUACAGAGGUGGCAAGCGUCGUUCGGAAUUAUUGGGCGUAAAGAGCACGUAGGUGGGUUUGUAAGUCAGAUGUGAAAGCCUCCUGUUCAACGGGAGAAUUGCAUCUGAAACUACAGAUCUUGAGUGUAGGAGGGGAGAAUGGAACUUCUGGUGGAGCGGUGAAAUGCGUAGAUAUCAGAAGGAACGCCGGCGGCGAAAGCGAUUCUCUGGCCUAUUACUGACACUCAGUGUGCGAAAGCUAGGGUAGCAAACGGGAUUAGAUACCCCGGUAGUCCUAGCCGUAAACGAUGGGCACUAAGUAGAGGGGUUUUA